CGUUUAACUACGAAGUGGAAAAAAAAAAAAGUGAACUCACUAAGCGAGUCCAAGCGUUCUUUGGCGCUCAAAAAUCCCCAAAUCCUCGGCGAAAUUGGAAACCCUAACUUCCGAAUCGAAUCGAAGAUCGUAUUGUUUCCGGGUUGGAUGGGUGGUACGGACGCGAAAGACAUUCUCGGGUUGCCGAAGACGCCACUCUACGAGAAGAAAGCUCGACCCCAGAAGGAGUCUCAUAGAAAACCCGAUGGCAUUUCGCGCGAGGUUUAUGCGCUCACGGGGGGCGUUGCGCCUCCUCUUAUGCCUUCAAUUGAUGUUACCCACUUAAAGCGUCCUCCUCCGCCUCAUGAGAAGGUUGCUUGGCAAUGGCUUCCCAUCAACAGUUCCGCUAGGAAAGAUGAUUUGCAGCUUUACCAUUGGGUAAGAAGUUCCUUAUCUUAUAACAGAAAGCUUGAGCAUUUCCUUCUUUCUAAUGCCAUUUCUUUUGUCUUUGGAUCUAAAUAUUUAUCUUUACAGGUUAGAGUGGUAAAUGGUGUUCCACCAACAGGUGACUAUUCCUUUGCCAAAUAUAACAAGUCAGUUGAUAUCUUGAAAUACACGGACGAUGAUUAUGAGAAUCUUUUAACGGACCCUGUGUGGACCAAGGAAGAGACAGAUCAGUUGUUUCAAUUGUGUGAAAGGUUUGAUCUCCGUUUCACUGUCAUUGCUGAUCGCUUCCCAUUAUCCCGGACUCUUGAGGAAUUGAAGGAUCGUUACUAUAGUGUGACUCGGGCCCUGCUGCGUGCUAGAGCUCAGUCUCCAGCAGAUUUGGCAAACCAUCCUCUGAUGAAGGAGCCUUAUGAUAUGACACGCGAUAGAGAGCGCAAACGUGCAUUGUCAAUGGUCCUGUCCCAGAGUAGACACCAGGAGAAGAAAGAUGCUGAGAUUCUUGCUGAGGCUAAAAGAAUCACAGAGAUUCGUUUGGCUGCACGUCGUGCGGCAGAUCUUGAUGUGUCUGGGAAUGAGAAUAUCGGUCUUGAUAAAGCUGAUGGAGGUCCAGGGUGUAGUGUAUCUCCAUCUUCCAAUUCUCAACUUCCUGCAACUGCCGUGGCCCCAUCAACACUAACUAUGGCAGAUUAUGCCUCUACACUUGCUUCUCUGCGCAUGCUUCAUGUGUACUUGAGAACCUAUGGACUUGAACAAAUGGUUCAAGCUGCAAGCUCUGCUGUUGGUCUUCGAACGAUCAAGCGCGUUGAGCAGACUCUGCAAGAUCUCGGGGUUUGUUUUUGCUUUCGUGCUCUGUUUAACUCUUUCGUGCCCGUUGACUGAGCAAUGAGACUUUAAUUAAUUGUACAUUAUAAAGGGCACUCUCUCUCACUGAAGGUUAAUUUAAAGCCAAAGGUUCCUACAAAAACUGUAUGUGAUGAGCAUCUUGAAUUACGGAAAGAAAUUCUAACACUACUGAAUCUUCAGAAGCAGCUACUGUAUAAAGAAUCAGAAGGCUCAUCACACCGUGAAGGGGCCUAUGCCGCAAUGCCAGAUACUCCAAAGGAUCGUGUUUUCGCAUCUGAGCCAUUCAGUUUUGGAGGAAUUUCAGCUGAAAGACCAAUCAAGAAGGAACCGAAGCGCAAGGGUCCUGGAAGGCAGGCAGACACUCCUUCACCAGCUCAUAAGCGGCCUAGAAAAUUGAAAGCAUCCGAUCUCUAAAAAUGUUCUCACCACUGAUUCACUAUUUUCAUUUGCAUGUUUUGCCGGUGACGCUGCACUAUUUUGAAUUGUCCCAAGAAUAAAUUUGUCAAUUGUGAUUCCAAGUUUUAUCAAGUGUAGACCAGUCUAAAACACAAGAACCUACAGUACAGUCAUCAUGUUCAAAACACGAGUUUAAGGGAUUAGUAAAUUUAAACCAAUGCAAUUGUAUUAUUAAA